GCCCAGGCCUCCUACAGCGCGGUCAUGACUACCCCAGCUACCGGGAUCCCGCGUGGGUCCAGUCAGUACCAUCACGUGAUGAUGCAGUGCAGGGACAAGGUCUUCAGGGUCUACAAGUCCAUCAAUAACUUCCUUCACCAGAGGUCGCGAAGGAUAUAUGACAAACAGAGCCAUGCCUAUAAGGUGCCAAAAUGGACAACUCUUACCUCAGCCUCUGAAAACUCAAGAUCACCAAGUAUGUGGUCUCUCUGGGGUCACGGCUCUCUGAUUGUGCUUACAGGUCCAGGAUCUGGUCCUGACACGUCCGCGGGGCCUGUGUGCAGAACCAGCAGUUUCAUCUGGAAGGCUGGACUCCUGUUCCCGGGUCACCAGAUACGAGGAGACACAAGAAUUGGGGUCAAAAAAUCCUCUUCUGAAAAUAUCUAACUCUCUGAAGGCCUGUUCAGCCAGUUUUCCCAGAGCACAGAAGGCCUCAUUCGUGAUCUCCACCCUAAACUCCUUUCAGGGGUUGUUGGAGAUGAAGAAAGGGAUACAAGGAGGAUCAACCAAGAUUCCACAGUCCAGAUUCUAAUUGAAGAAGAGCUGGACUAAAUCAUUCCUACAGCCUCGUGCCCUCAGAAUACUAGUCACAUAGCUGAGCUUAUGGCCUGAAAUGCCACUACCCAAACUAUAGGCACACAUUGUGUUUUGUGAAAUGAGUGCCAGCGCAUGAUUUGUCCAAGGAGAUCACCCGAUGACACACGCUUUCAUCAGGGCUGACCAUCCAAGGGCCUAUGUAGGGAUUCGCACAACGUCUGUGCUCCAGGAUAGGAGAGGAGAAAAGAGAUGCAGGUUUCACUGCGACUGUAUGUAACUAGGGGAACGACUCCCUCAAACACGACCCAUACAGGAUUCUCAGUCAUUCUCAGUCCCCUGCAGCAGUGGGAGCCGUCUUGACUUUACCUCCCUCUUCCCAGUACUUCCCUCUGUGCUUGGCUGCAGUCGGGACUCAGUGUUCCCUGAAGUGACUGUGUCUGGUCUACAACUGUCUGUGUCUCAGUGCACGCUCUCUUCCUUCCACUGGGGCCGCUAGGAGGAUAGAUGAUGUGAUCUCAGAUGUAGUGAUCCGGGUCUCCACUGUUUAACCACUAAUUUAGCAGUUUCCAAUCCAGACUCAGGAGAGGAAUCUCAAGAAGGAAAGUUGGGUUCAUUAUUAACUUCUCCGUGCCUUUUAGAAAUACCAUUUCUAAUAUAUUGCCCUGUAAUAGGAACUGAUUCAAGGGAGAACUUUCUGGAAGCCUCUGUCAGUGGUUUUUGAAGUUUCCCUAGACCGUGAAGAAGAAAUGUGAGAAGAAAGGGAUGGAGAGAGAGGGAAAAGAGAGAGGAGGGAAAGGUGUAUAAUGAGAAAAGAUUUAUUUAUGAUAUGGCAAUUAUUUUUUAUCUCUGAAUUAAUGGAAUUCUUUACUGACUGCAUUAGAUGUGCCAAGCUCUGUGUUAAGGGCUAAAAUCAGGAGGAAAGUGCAAUGUGUUACCUUCUUUUUCUCAUGCAACUCUUGUUCCAGAUUUACAUUUUGAACACAGUAAGAUGCCUUUAUCCAAGCUCUGAAGGUACUAUGGCCUCAGGUAUCAAAAUCUCCUAAGACUCUUCAGACCAGUUCAGUCUCUCCCCAACCCCCUUCUUUUUAAUCAUAUUCCAGCCCACCAAAGGGCCAUGUUACAUAGAGAGGCCUAAUACUUGGAACAAACAGAGCCAGGGAGGGCUGUUUGCAAAGGAGGAACCCAGGUUCCUCUAGGUUUUUACUAAUGUCCCCUGUUCCUCUUCACAUAAAGAUUCUCCAUCUCAUCGCCUCCUGAUGCUGGAAACUUGAGUCUUUGAAUUUCUUACUGCUCAAAAUUCUGCAGAACGUUAAAGCAGUUUGCUAAGUUCUUCUUGAGUUUUUUCCUUUGCUCCACUUGCAUUGAAUUUACUUUCUCUAUUUUUAAUCUGGAUCUGAUUAUUGCUUCCACUCCAUGCCAACUAACAACCUGAAAAAACUCAGAGGGCUUUCUGUAAACUCUAUCAAAGAAUUACAAAAGAAUGAAUACCUGGGGUUGCAUAAGGGAUGCCAACCUCGGUUUCUAGAAUCUUGCGUUUAUUCACAUCUGUGCUAUUUUCUACACACAACUGUCAUUGACAUUCCCAGUGCUUGCAUUUCAUUAUGUAAAAUGAGAAUUUUAUCUUUGUAAACCA